CCAGUAGGAAAGACAAAAUAUUGUAUCAUUUUUCUGAUUGUAGUUUUUUUCAUUCUGCUUUUUAUUUUCUCAUUUUUCUACAUCAAACAUGGAUUAAUACAAAAAUAAUUCAAUCAUUAUAACACAUUAAAGGUGAUUAGCCUCAGGCACAAAAGAUGAAGGGCAUUCAGGAGGCAUUUGCCAUAAACCAGGAAAGAAAUGAGAAAGGCUUGUGCUGGACUCCAGUGGUUUCCAGUCCUAGCUGUACUUUAGAAAUACCUAGGGAGGUAUUAAAAAGUACUCAUUUCAGGCACAACACAGACUAAUUAAUUUAGAGUCUCUGGGAUGGUACCUUGACACUGGUAUGUUUUAACGUCUGCCCCCUGCCUUGCCCCAAGUGACUCUAAAAUGUGCAGGUGGAGAUAAGUCCACUACUCUAAGGCAGUGGCAGUUGGAAAGGAGAAGAAGAGGAUUUGGACCUGAAUUACGUUCCAGGGGUGGGAUCCCUAAAAAGGAUAUAAAUCUUAGGACAUGAAUUUGGCUUUAGUGGGUUUCCUUCCAUUCUAUAUAGCUCUCAAGGUCAAGUGCAUUGCUGAGGAAUGGACAAUAGCCUCUGCUGAUCCCUCUGAUCUAAGCUGCUGCUGGCACGGCAGCAUUGGAGGCUACAUCCAUUCUCAGCACAUUUGGAGUGCAAUGAUGCUGCAGGAACAAAUCGCCCACCUUCCAAAUGCCCUGUGAGUGAGUCAGUGCUCAGCAGCAUUGGCAAGGCGGAGCGCUGUAACGGCAAAGAAAGGAUGACAUCUCAUAUACAUGUGUGAACAGGACUGUUUACUCAUAGGAUGAUUAUUUUAAAGGAGACGUUUGGUUUUUUAAGGUCCGUAGAAGUUUGUUUCAUCGCUAAUCGCAGCGGGUGUAGGUGUUAGCUAACAUACCGGUAACUGAAUGUUCUUAGCAAUACUGCAAUAGCUUCCCUUAAGGUUUAAAAAUUACAAUUUGAUUUUAAUUGCCACCUCUCUUAAUAGGUGUUACUCAAACAGGAAGGAAAAUGCCACAUACUCUUACCAGUUCUUGAUGCCAGAGAUUACUAAAGCAAUUUGGAAAGAUAUCGAAAAGGUGUUGAGAAAAUACAGUGUUUAGGCACAUGAGAGAAGAUGAGGAACCAGGACAGGAAAUGGCAGCGUUUCCACCAAAGGUCAAGGGGAACAUUAAUGGGCUACAUUCCAGACCCAAGGCUGACGAUCUUCUUCAAAGGAGUCAGUGGUGGAAACACAGACUCAGAGCCACUCCCAAAAGAGGGAUGUACAGGAAAAUCUGCAGGCCUGGGUGUCAGCCCUGAGUCAGGACUCUGACUCUGUUGCUUCUUAGCUGUGGGACCAUGGUUGCAUGAUCAAGCUGACUUGAGGGUUCUGAACAGAAGCUGACCAGUCUACUGCACAUUGUAAAGAAGUUAAAAAGCUGGAUUGAAUUGCAAAAUGUACUACUCAAGGAGUCCAAAGAAUAAAAUAUGAGCAGCUUGUGGGGGUAAAGCAUUCGUAGGUAUAGUAUAGAAAAGGUCCAUGAGCAUCAUGUCAGUGUCUUUUAACUUUCCAUUGCAGUGGAAUAAUCCUUUAUGCGUUUAUGAAAAUCUUUGGAAAAGAAGCCACGUCACUGGGUGGUUCCUACUUAUUUUCCUCUCCAGGGGCCUUUGCUGCUCUUGCUGGGUGCCUCAGUUGCUAGCUUUGUGAGUAGUAAUGCCCCACUGUUCCCAGCUCCUUGCUUGCUGGGUGUGAGGACAGAGGCUAUCAUAGCAAUAAUUGCUGGAUGUUCUGUGUUUGCACAUCUGUGGUGGCCUUCUGAAUUGAGUUUCGUGCCAGAGCCAGGCAGCGCCUCCCUACCCCACCCUCCCACUGCCCCUUUAUUUUCUGUGUCACACCAUUAAAAGAAAUGAGAUUAUGGCACAAAUCAUCAUUCAUAUGACUCUAGCAUAGAAGGUUAGCGAGAUAUUGCAGAGAUAAUUCCAUAGCCACCAUGGCCCCUGACAAUAAUUACAAUGUGGCCACAGGGGAUUACCUUCUAAUAGGCUUUUGUUCACUCAAUUCAGAGUCUGUUGUGUGCUAGAGUUUGGAUAAUUAAAGUUGUGUCUCAGAAGCCACAUGUGGUAGCUCAUAAUUAUGUAGUCGAGUCUAACAGAAAACUGAGGUGACUGACACCCGGCCAGAGUGAAGAACAGGGGUCCUUGGUGACAACGAAGAAAGAAACCAGUCCCCUCAUUUGGGGACAGGGGAUUGGUGUUCACUCCAUAGCAUCAACUGCUUUAUUUAUUUUAAACAAAAAUGACUAAUUAUAGCCCUUUCUGGUCCAAUCCCUCACUCUCCACGGGGACUUUUCCUAACCCUUUCCUAUUGCUCCAACAAAAGAAUGGUAGCUGGUCUGAGCAAUGAAGAAAAUAUACAUGGCUUAUUUAAACAGCAUAAUGGUUUAAUUAUUUAAUCAUUUGCAUGUUGAGUGAUUUGCAUAAAAGCAGGAAAAGGCCCAUGUUGGAAUUUGGCCUGUAUCUCCCCCUGUUCCUCACUGGAGAAAAGAUUCUGAAACUUGGCCUCGUUGAAGCCCUUGAAUUUUAGAAAAAAAAUGUGAACUUUGAAAAACUUAGAUUUGUUAUUUCAAGGAUGCAAUAUUUGAAAAGAAAACAAAUCCAAAGACUAUAUCCCAUUGGGCCAUAUUUCUCAAGUCAGUCGAUGGCUGUCAAAGAAGCAAAGUAGUUAAUUUUCCCUGUAAAGUAUGCCCUUGAAAAGCCAUUCUCCUAAGUAUAGGCAGAAUGCUUUGCUAAGUGGGUGCCUUUUCAGCAUUCUAAGACUGGGUCCCACAUUUUCUAACGAUUCAUUGUGAAAGAGAUGGCUAUUUUACCAUUCUGCUUAAAAUCUGAAACUUUAGUUCAGCACAUCUCUUAUCUUAAAUCCUUGGAAUGUUUAGAAGAUUCUUGCAACGCACUUCUAAAAGGCUCUGAAUUUCUGAGCCUUAAAAGUAAAAUUCUGCUUUGUUCCAACAUAAGACAUUUUUCCUCCAAGUUUUGCCAGGUAGAGAACAAACCCCUUCAUUUUUUUCAACACUGUUGUCUCUUUUAAAGCACAGCAAAUUUAUUCUUCACCCAAUGUGGAAACAACAAUUGAUAUUCAAAACGCUACCCUUUCCUAAGGCUUUGCCUUCAUGAAAAUGAAACAUAUUUCGUACUGAGCACCAUAUGGUGUUUGUGAAGAGUGG
rnacentral:lncRNA from 10 species